rnacentral:rRNA from 1 species
GACGAACGCUGGCGGCGUGCUUAACACAUGCAAGUCGAACGGAAAGGCCCUGCGUUUGUGGGGUGCUCGAGUGGCGAACGGGUGAGUAACACGUGAGUAACCUGCCCUUGACUUUGGGAUAACUUCAGGAAACUGGGGCUAAUACCGGAUAGGAGCUCCUGCUGCAUGGUGGGGGUUGGAAAGUUUCGGCGGGUGGGGAUGGACUCGCGGCUUACCAGCUUGUUGGUGGGGUAGUGGCUUACCAAGGCUUUGACGGGUAGCCGGCCUGAGAGGGUGACCGGCCACCUUGCGCCUGCGGUACGGCCCAGACUCCUACGGGAGGCAGCAGUCGGAAGUAUUGCACAAUGGGCGGACGCCUGAUGCGGCAGCCCCGCGUGCGGAAUGACGGCCUUCGGGUUGUGAACCGCUUUCGCCUGUGACGAAGCGUGAGUGACGGUAAUGAGUGAAGAAGCACCGGCUAACUUCGUG